CUGCUUGACAAGACAAUGUCAGCCAGGCACAGCUAACGGUGCUCUCCCAACUCCAGGCACAACCUGCAUGUGAUCAUAGAUGAGAGUUACAUGCUGUCCGUGUUUGAUACAUUCGUCACAUUUCACAGUGUUCUGAGUAUGAAAUGAAUGGAUCAACAGUGUGGACCUGCCUGCUAACCAUAGCCAGCUCUGGAAGGCUUACCUCUAUGUCACUCAGAGGCUGGCGAAGCUGCAGAUAUCCUUUUGUAAUGGCCAAUCUGGCCUCUAUGUCUGGAUCAACUUGCAAAGCAUAAGUUCUGGAAGUGGCAGGUGCUGGGUGGACCUGUGGGCUCGUCUUGUGCUCAGUUCUGCUGCUUCCCCUUUCCCUAGUACCUGAGUCCAUGCACAUUUGAUCAAGAACAGAUUCUUUACCAGUGCUUCCUAGACAAUAAGCUGGUGUUAUCUAGGGGUGAAUCCUACAUGUGGAAGGAGCCUGGCUGGUUCCAUCUUCUCUUUGCAGUAAACUGACAUCAGCUAAAAGUGGGUGAGUGCUGCCACCCACUUCCCAGUCCUGACAUCCAGUAAUGGGGCCAUCAACUCUUCCUUAAGUCAUUUAUUCUGUCUCCAAUACCUCUAGCCACCCUUUUCUAUUCUUAAUUAUGCCCCUUUGUAAACAGGAAUCAGCCAAGUAGUCAUCUCUCCAUGCAUUCCACCUUUUGAGUAGCCUAUGUUUUGUGCCUGCCAUGUGUUUGAGUGUGUCUUUUGGAACAGAAGCUUCUAAGAAGCAAUUCUCUGCACAUGUGGGGCUAGUGUCUAGCAGAUUCAAUGUACAGACAAUCGUGCAUGUUAUGUUGGGGUCCACACAUUCCUCUGACAGCAUGAAGACUUGAUGUUUAUUUGAAUAAUUAUUUAUAGCAUCUCACUAAUUGCCAGACACUUUCCUACCUGCUGAGCCUAUAGCAGUGGGCCACUUAGCCUCAUAAAGUUCAUCAUACAGCAAUAUCUUUUAGUCUAGUGUAGAAAAUACACAAUGGGAAGGCAGGCAUGGUCAUUCACACUUGCAGUCCUGACACUUGAGGCACUGAGACAGGAGGUCUGAGAGGUCAGAGCUAGUCUGGGCUACAUAGAGAGACCCUGUAUCAUAAAUAAUCAAGCUCAGUGUAGGUUAAGAGGCAAAUAAGCCACAGCGCAGACUUUGACAAAGACCUUGUUAUUUCUGUCAUGGCAAUGAUUUGACUACCAAGUUAAAAAAAGAGCCUGAAGAGAUAAUAGAACAGGUUGCCUUCAAGUUCUAUCUCAAAGAAGGGAGGACUUAUCUUAGCACCCAUAAACCAGAGGCUCUGAUGGACAUCCACAACCCAGGUCUGUCUGGACUCUACCUGCACACCACUGACUCAUUCUCUCUCUGUGUCCCCUUUGGACCUUCUAGCCAUGGAUCUGUUCUGCCUGGUGCUCAAGGAAUAAAAAAAAAGACAUUAUGCUGAAAGAACA
rnacentral:lncRNA from 1 species